GGAGAGGUACCCGAAGUGGCCCAACGGGGUCCGGGUGUCGACUCGGACGGGUUUUACCCGCGCAGGUUCGAAUCCUGCCCUCUCCG
rnacentral:tRNA from 1 species